AAAAAAAAAAAAAAAAAAAAAAAAAAAAAAAAAAAAAAAAAAAAAAAAAAAAAAAAAAAAAAAAAAGGGAGACUGGGUUGGGAAUGAGCCUGGGAAGUUAAGAUUGCACCACUGUACUUCAGCCUGGUACUUCUGAUCUAUGGAGGCCAAUAUGUUAAGCGAAAGAAGCCAGGCGCAGAAAGACAAAUAUCACAUGUUCUCACUCAUGUGGAAGCUUAAAAAGUAGAUCUUAUGAAGAUAGAGUUACCAGAGGCCAGGAAAGGGAGAGAGGUGGAGGGAUGAAGGGAACAAAAAAAUAUAAACGUAUUUUUUACCACUGAACUGUGCACU
rnacentral:lncRNA from 1 species